UAAAUAUGUGCAUUAUUGCACAAGAUUUAAGUCUUCUAAACUUUGAAAAAUACACAGCAAUUCACAAAAGGUCCAAAUGGACAGGUGUGGCUGAAGAUGGCAGAGCUGAAGCUAUGUCUUCGACCUGGAGAUGGAAACUGCCAGGAGAAAGUGGCAGAGACACGAGGUAGAAGGAGCCUGGGUGUCCAACUCCGUGGAGUCAUCAGGAAAUCCAUGCUGAAAGGCAUCAGGUUUGAAGAUAAAUCUGGGAGAGGAAGCCUGUGGGCAGGAUGCCAUUCCCUGACUAGAGAUGGUAAGAACCUCAACUUCAGGCUAUUGGGAAUGAAGAGAAGGGAAUGUAAGUAAGCAAUUGACAACAUCUUGGUGCCUAACUGGCGGUAAGAGAAGGGGAUUCUGGAUGACUCCCUUACAGGGUAUCUCCAGAAUUUUUGUCUGAAGUGUAUAUACGUUUAGGGACCCCCUUUGGGAAAAAGAAUUUUU